rnacentral:rRNA from 1 species
GGGGGGGGGGGGGGGGGGGGGGGGGGCGGGCGGGGGGGGCGGGGGGGGCCGGGGGGGGGGGGGGGCUCGAGUGGCGGGCGCGGGAGUGUCACGUGAGGGACCGGCCCUCGCGUGUGGGAGGCGGGCAGGAAGCAGGGGUCAGUACCACGUGGGAGAGCCCGCCGCGUGGCGCGUGCGGGACAGAUUCGGCGCCUGGGGUUGGACUCGCGGCUUACCAGCUGGUUCGUGGGGUAGUGGCUUACCAAGGCUCUGACGGGUAGCCGGCCUGAGAGGGUGACCGGCCACAUUGGGACUGAGAUACGGCCCAGACUCCUACGGGAGGCAGCAGUGGGGAAUAUUGCACAAUGGGCGGAAGCCUGAUGCAGCAACGCCGCGUGCGGGAUGACGGCCUUCGGGUUGUAAACCGCUUUCGCCUGUGACGAAGCGUGAGUGACGGUAAUGGGUAAAGAAGCACCGGCUAACUACGUG